CCUACGGGAGGCUGCAGUGGGGAAUAUUGCACAAUGGGGGAAACCCUGAUGCAGCGACGCCGCGUGAGUGAAGAAGUAUUUCGGUAUGUAAAGCUCUAUCAGCAGGGAAGAAAAUGACGGUACCUGAUUAAGAAGCCUCGGCUAACUACGUGCCAGCAGCCGCGGUAAUACGUAGGGGGCAAGCGUUAUCCGGAUUUACUGGGUGUAAAGGGAGCGUAGACGGCAGCACAAGUCUGGAGUGAAAUGCCGGGGCUUAACCCCGGAACUGCUUUAGAAACUGUGCAGCUUGAGUGCAGGAGAGGUAAGUGGAAUUCCUAGUGUAGCGGUGAAAUGCGUAGAUAUUAGGAGGAACACCAGUGGCGAAGGCGGCUUACUGGACUGUAACUGACGUUGAGGCUCGAAAGCGUGGGGAGCAAACAGGAUUAGAUACCCCUGUAGUC
rnacentral:rRNA from 1 species